GACUCGUUAGCUCAGCAGGUUAGAGCGCCGACAUAAGUAUUUGCAAUUCUUGACCAUCGGAGGACGAAGGUUCAAAUCCUUCACGAGUCA
rnacentral:tRNA from 1 species